rnacentral:rRNA from 1 species
GAUGAACGCUGGCGGCGUGCCUAAUACAUGCAAGUCGAGCGAACAGAUAAGGAGCUUGCUCCUUUGACGUUAGCGGCGGACGGGUGAGUAACACGUGGGUAACCUACCUAUAAGACUGGAAUAACUCCGGGAAACCGGGGCUAAUGCCGGAUAACAUUUAGAACCGCAUGGUUCUAAAGUGAAAGAUGGUUUUGCUAUCACUUAUAGAUGGACCCGCGCCGUAUUAGCUAGUUGGUAAGGUAACGGCUUACCAAGGCAACGAUACGUAGCCGACCUGAGAGGGUGGUCGGCCACACUGGAACUGAGACACGGUCCAGACUCCUACGGGAGGCAGCAGUAGGGAAUCCUUCGCAAAGGGCGAAAGCCUGACGGAGCAACGCCGCGUGAGUGAUGAAGGUCUUCGGAUCGUAAAACUCUGUUAUUAGGGAAGAACAAAUGUGUAAGUAACUGUGCACGUCUUGACGGUACCUAAUCAGAAAGCCACGGCUAACUACGUG